rnacentral:tRNA from 1 species
GUGCGUAUAGAUUAUUUGAAAUCGUAAGGCUGUUAACCUUAAGAAGGAGGCUUCCUGCGGACG